UCAUUCCUGUGGGGCGCGGGGCAUGGAGGAGCUGUGCGGCUGCAGGCGGAGCAGGCCGGCCCGGGCGGCGGCGCGGACAACGGUUUCCAUUUAAGGGGGCGGCCCGAGCCCCAGCGGCCGGCGGCGGCGGAGAGGACCAGCCCCCGGGCAGUUUGGUGCUCUGGUGGUCAGAUGUCGGAAGGCAGUAAGGCGACAGACUCUCCGUGGUUUUAUAUCCGUUUGGGGUGCAGCGGUUGACGUUGAACUUCGGUUCCUGUCACUCUUGCCUGUGUCGAUAGAGUUAAGCCGGAGCUUUGCUUUGAGGGAUAAAGAAAGCGCAGCCUUUCCACUGGACAUAAAUGGAUCUAAAGACAGCAGUGUUUAACGCAGCUCGGGAUGGCAAACUGCGGCUUCUCACCAAGUUGUUGGCCAGCAAAUCCAAAGAGGAGGUUUCCUCCUUGAUCUCGGAAAAAACAAACGGAGCCACGCCACUGCUGAUGGCCGCCAGGUAUGGGCACCUUGACAUGGUGGAGUUCCUCCUCGAACAGUGCAGUGCCUCCAUAGAAGUGGGGGGCUCUGUCAAUUUUGAUGGCGAAACCAUCGAGGGGGCUCCCCCGCUGUGGGCCGCUUCUGCAGCGGGACAUCUGAAGGUGGUGCAGUCGCUGUUAAACCAUGGAGCGUCUGUCAACAACACAACUUUAACCAAUUCCACUCCUCUUCGAGCUGCCUGUUUCGAUGGCCAUCUGGAAAUCGUGAAGUACCUUGUGGAACACAAAGCUGACUUGGAGGUGUCCAACCGACACGGGCAUACGUGCUUGAUGAUUUCGUGCUACAAAGGACACAAAGAGAUUGCUCAGUAUUUGCUUGAAAAGGGGGCAGAUGUUAAUAGAAAAAGUGUGAAAGGUAAUACUGCAUUGCAUGAUUGUGCAGAGUCUGGGAGUUUGGACAUCAUGAAGAUGCUGCUUAUGUAUUGUGCCAAGAUGGAAAAGGAUGGUUAUGGAAUGACUCCCCUUCUUUCAGCCAGCGUCACCGGUCACACAAAUAUUGUGGAUUUUCUGACUCACCAUGCACAGACCAGCAAGACAGAACGGAUCAAUGCUCUAGAGCUCCUGGGAGCUACAUUUGUGGACAAAAAGAGAGAUCUGCUUGGGGCCUUGAAAUACUGGAAAAAGGCCAUGAACAUGAGGUACAGCGAUAGGACUAAUAUCAUCAGCAAACCGGUACCGCAGACUCUGAUAAUGGCUUACGAUUAUGCCAAGGAGGUGAAUAGUGCGGAAGAGCUAGAAGGUCUUAUUGCCGACCCCGACGAGAUGAGAAUGCAGGCACUAUUGAUCAGAGAACGUAUUCUUGGUCCCUCUCAUCCCGAUACCUCUUAUUACAUUAGAUACAGAGGCGCUGUCUAUGCGGACUCUGGAAAUUUCAAACGAUGCAUCAACCUCUGGAAGUAUGCUUUGGAUAUGCAGCAGAACAACUUGGACCCUUUAAGCCCCAUGACUGCCAGCAGCUUGCUGUCGUUUGCGGAACUGUUCUCCUUUAUGCUCCAGGAUAGGGCUAAAGGCCUGCUGGGCACCACCGUUACGUUUGAUGAUCUUAUGGGCAUCCUGUGCAAAAGUGUCCUUGAAAUAGAGCGAGCUAUCAAGCAAACUCAGUGUCCAGCUGACCCAUUGCAGUUAAAUAAGGCUCUGUCCAUUAUUUUGCACUUGAUUUGCUUGCUAGAGAAAGUUCCUUGUACUGUAGAACAGGACCACUUCAAAAAGCAGACUAUCUACAGGUUUCUGAAGCUGCAUCCGAGGGGGAAGAAUAACUUCAGCCCCCUUCAUCUGGCUGUGGACAAGAACACGACCUGCGUAGGGCGCUACCCCGUGUGCAAAUUCCCAUCUCUGCAGGUCACGGCCAUACUGAUCGAGUGUGGCGCCGACGUAAACGUCAGAGACUCUGACGACAACAGCCCCCUGCACAUCGCCGCUCUGAACAACCAUCCCGACAUCAUGAAUCUCCUUAUUAAAUCAGGUGCACACUUCGAUGCCACAAACUUGCACAAGCAGACUGCUAGUGACUUGCUGGAUGAGAAAGAGAUCGCGAAAAAUUUGAUCCAGCCCAUCAAUCACACCACCCUGCAGUGUCUUGCUGCUCGCGUCAUAGUGAAUCAUAGAAUAUAUUACAAAGGGCAUAUCCCAGAAAAGCUAGAAACCUUUGUUUCACUUCACAGAUGAUAAUCUGCCUGGCUCGUCGCACUGUCGAAAGCACGGAUCGCUGACAGUUGCCUCGGAAACUCUGUACGUGCAGUAAAUCGACACUAGUGGAUCCCAGUAAUUUGGGGGUAAAAGAUGAGCAAUGGAAUUUUCCAGCGAUUUGACAUUUCCCCUUCCUUUCUCGGGCGGGGAGAAGAGGGCUCACGUGCUCGUUUGGUACUGCACACUUCACACUAUCCAACGGGUGAACCGAAAUCGUGCGGCUCUAGUGGAACUCAGG